rnacentral:rRNA from 1 species
UACGUAGGUCCCGAGCGUUGUCCGGAUUUAUUGGGCGUAAAGCGAGCGCAGGUGGUUUAAUAAGUCUGAUGUAAAAGGCAGUGGCUCAACCAUUGUGUGCAUUGGAAACUGUUAGACUUGAGUGCAGUAGAGGAGAGUGGAAUUCCAUGUGUAGCGGUGAAAUGCGUAGAUAUAUGGAGGAACACCGGUGGCGAAAGCGGCUCUCUGGACGGUUACUGACGCUGAGACGCGAAAGCGUGGGGAGCAAACAGG